rnacentral:rRNA from 1 species
UCGANCGGUCUUUUCGGAGACAGUGGCGGACGGGUGAGUAACGCGUAAGAAUCUACCUUCAGGUCGGGGACAACCACUGGAAACGGUGGCUAAUACCGGAUGUGCCGAGAGGUGAAAGGCUUGCUGCCUGAAGAAGAGCUUGCGUCUGAUUAGCUAGUUGGUAGUGUAAGAGACUACCAAGGCGACNAUCAGUAGCUGGNCUGANAGGAUGAUCAGCCACACUGGGACUGAGACACGGNCCANACUCCUACGGGAGGCANCANUGGGGAAUUUUCCGCANUGGGCGAAAGCCUGACGGAGCAAUACCGCGUGAGGGAGGAAGGCUCUUGGGUUGUAAACCUCUUUUCUCAGGGAAGAACAGAAUGACGGUACCUGAGGAAUAAGCAUCGGCUAACUCCGUGCCAGCAGCCGCGGUAAUACGGAGGAUGCAAGCGUUAUCCGGAAUGAUUGGGCGUAAAGAGUCCGUAGGUGGCAUUGAAAGUCUGCUGUUAAAGAGUCUAGCUCAACUAGAUNANAGCAGUGGAAACUACAAAGCUAGAGUUUGGUCGGGGCAGAAGGAAUUCCUGGUGUANCGGUGAANUGCGUANAUNUCAGGAAGAACACCGGUGGCGAAGGCGUUCUGCUAGGCCGAGACUGACACUGAGGGACGAAAGCUAGGGGAGCGAAUGGGAUUAGAUACCCCAGUAGUCCUAGCCGUAAACGAUGGAUACUAGGCGUANCUCGUAUCGACCCGAGCUGUGCCGGAGCUAACGCGUUAAGUAUCCCGCCUGGGGAGUACGCAGGCAACUGUGAAACUCAAAGGAAUUGACGGGGGCCCGCNCAAGCGGUGGAGUAUGUGGUUUAAUUCGAUGCNACGCGAAGAACCUUACCAAGGCUUGACAUGUCACGAAUCCUGUAGAAANAUANGAG